rnacentral:rRNA from 1 species
CAUUGACAAUGAACUACAACCAUUGUCCGCCUGGGAACUACGAGCACCAGCUUAAAACCCAAAGGACUUGGCGGUGCUUUAGAUCCACCUAGAGGAGCCUGUUCUAGAACCGAUAACCCCCGUUAAACCUCACCCCUCCUUGUUUAUCCCGCCUAUAUACCACCGUCGUCAGCUUACCCUGCGAAGAUCCAACAGUAAGCACAAUUGGCACAGCCCAAAACGUCAGGUCGAGGUGUAGCGUAUGGAGGGGGAAGAAAUGGGCUACAUUCCCUACCUCAGGGAAUCACGAACGAUACUCUGAAAUAAGUAUCUAAAGGAGGAUUUAGCAGUAAGCAGAAAAUAGAGCGUUCCGCUGAAACCGGCCCUGAAGCGCGC